GACCAGAGUAAACAGACAUCGCAGCAGGCGGAGGUAGCUGGAAGCAUCGAGAGCGUAUCCCCAAAAGUUCACAUAAGUCAACUCUGCAACAGGGGUCUUCUAUGCCAAACAAUUCUGGAAGGACUGCUGAGGACUGGAUAAAUAAUUAAGCUUGCAGUCACUCAGGUGUGAAUUAUUGCUUCUUGUGCCUGCUGACUCCCCUGAACAGAGUGUUCUGAACAUAACAUCAAGUAGAAGAGCCUCAAGCUGAAGGUACAGUAUCUUGUUUACACUGAAGGAGCUUGUGUGUGGACAAGAAAGCGCUGACAGCUCAAAUGGAUCCCAUGGAACUGAGCAAUGUCAACAUCGAGCCUGAUGAUGAGAGCAUCAGUGGAGAAAGUAUUCAAGAUAGCUACACCGGGAUGGGAAAUUUAGAAAAGGCAGCAAUGAGCAGUCAGUUUACUAAUGAAGAUGCUGAAAGUCAGAAAUUCCUGACAAAUGGAUUUUUGGGGAAAAAGAAGUUGGCAGAUUAUGACGAUGAACAUCAUCCUGGGACCACUUCCUUUGGAAUGUCUUCGUUCAACCUGAGUAAUGCCAUCAUGGGCAGUGGAAUCCUGGGCCUGUCCUAUGCCAUGGCCAACACAGGGAUAAUACUUUUCAUAAUCAUGCUGCUUGCUGUGGCAGUCCUAUCUCUUUAUUCAGUUCAUCUUUUAUUAAAGACUGCCAAAGAAGGAGGGUCUUUAAUUUAUGAAAAUCUAGGUGAAAAGGCAUUUGGAUGGCCUGGGAAAAUUGGAGCUUUUAUUUCCAUUACAAUGCAGAACAUUGGAGCCAUGUCAAGCUACCUCUUUAUCAUUAAAUAUGAACUACCUGAAGUAAUCAGAGCAUUCAUGGGACUUGAAGAAAAUACUGGAGAAUGGUAUCUCAACGGCAACUACCUCAUCAUAUUUGUGUCUGUUGGAAUAAUUCUUCCACUUUCUCUCCUUAAAAAUUUAGGUUACCUUGGUUAUACCAGCGGAUUUUCUCUUACUUGCAUGGUGUUUUUUGUCAGUGUGGUGAUUUACAAGAAAUUCCAAAUACCCUGUCCUCUGCCUAUUCUGGAUCACAGUGUUGGGAAUCUGACAUUCAACAAUACAGUUCCAAUGCACAUGGUGAUGUUACUCAACAACUCCGAGAGUAGUGGUGUGAACUUCAUGAUGGAUUACCCCCACCAGAAUGCUGCAGGACUUGACGAGAACCAGGCCAAGGGCUCUCUCCAUGGCAGUGGAGUAGAGUUUGAAGCACACAGUGAUGACAAGUGUCAGCCCAAAUACUUUGUCUUCAACUCCAGGACGGCCUAUGCAAUUCCCAUCCUAGCAUUUGCUUUUGUAUGCCACCCUGAGGUCCUUCCUAUCUACAGUGAACUUAAAGAUCGGUCCCGGAAGAAGAUGCAAACAGUGUCGAAUGUCUCCAUCACGGGGAUGCUCAUCAUGUAUCUGCUUGCUGCCCUCUUUGGUUACCUAACCUUUUAUGGAGAAGUUGAAGAUGAACUGCUUCAUGCUUACAGCAAAGUGUACACGUUUGACACCCCUCUUCUCAUGGUGCGCCUGGCUGUCCUUGUGGCGGUGACACUGACCGUGCCCAUAGUGCUAUUCCCUAUUCGCACAUCAGUGACCACACUGUUAUUUCCCAAAAGACCAUUCAGCUGGAUAAGGCAUUUCCUGAUUGCAGCCAUAAUUAUUGCUCUUAAUAAUGUUUUGGUCAUCCUUGUGCCAACUAUAAAAUACAUCUUUGGAUUCAUAGGGGCUUCUUCUGCCACUAUGCUGAUCUUCAUCCUUCCAGCAGUUUUCUAUCUUAAACUUGUCAAGAAAGAACCUCUUAGGUCACCCCAAAAGGUCGGGGCUUUAGUUUUCCUCGUGGUUGGCAUCAUCUUCAUGAUGGGAAGCAUGGCACUCAUUAUAAUUGACUGGAUUUACAAUCCCCCAAAUUCCAAGCAUCAUUAACCCAAGGAAAAAUACUAUCUUUUCCUGUUAGAGAUGGUUACCAAUUAUGCUCCCAAAGACAUUUUAGUUAUCUUGUUUGGAAUGUUAGUCCUAGGAAAUAACAGGGAGAUUCCAAAGAUGUUUACCAGCAAUAUUACCAAGCACCUACAGAAGAGAAGAUCAUCAUUUUUGUCACAAAUGGCUGUUUAUAUGUUUAAAAUCUGUGGUGCACACUUCCACCAGGUUUUACAGCAGUGUGUGAUGAUGUAUUUUUGCUUCUGCGUGUGCAAAAUAAGGGUAGCUGCAUGUAACGAUCACCAAAUAAUACCCUUUUCCCUCUCCCCACAAAAGUACCAAAUUUCUGUAUUCUCAGAAUAUCAAGCAAAAAUGCCCUGAUGGCAAAGCUAAUGCCACUUAAUGCCUUCCCUCAAUCUUGCACCAAAUACUCCGGGUCUAUUUAAUGACAGAGGCAAAAGACAUGUAUUAUGAACUGUCUCUGCAAGUUACAUGAGUGAUCAGACACCAGGCUGGAGCAUCUUAUAUGCUCAACACUAAAGGAAAAUUUUGCCCGUCCUACUUGUGACAUUGAAUUAGUGACUUCUUCAUUCAACUGUUCUUCUGUAAAUAUUAAAACAUCUAAUGAAACACAGAGAGGGGCUUUAUUGAAAUUAUAGAGCACCAGCAAAACAAUGCUUAUGGCUAUAUGGAAUGUUCUGGAAGCAUUUGUUUAUUAAUAUUAUUCCCAGGCCUCUUGUCAUACUUUUGUCACUGAACAAUGCCCUCCCUCUCGUCUUCCAUUUUCGUUCAGAAUUUUUAGAAUACCACUAUUCAUGUGGAGCUACACUACCCAGUAUUGUUUAAUACAUUUUUAUUUGAUAAACAUUCAGUGCAGGAAACUGUGAUUGCUUUAUGUUUAUGUAUAUAAUCUUUUUCUGUAGUUAUCAGAAUUUUAAUGUAUGGUACAUUUGAUUUUUAUUUUUUACAUGUGUAGUUUUCUCUCUUCACAGUCAAACAUUUAUGUUAUUGGGGGUGGGGGUAGGGAAUUGAGUUGAUAGGCUCAAAAAUCCACAUGUAUGUAUCUGUCUAUUGGGCAUAUUUUAAAUUUGAAACCUGAGUGAUAUAUUGAAUAGUUUGAUAAUGCUCUUCUUCAGUGUUUACAAUAUUACCAUAAUCAUCUACAAGAAAAUAAGUUCCCUAUUUGCAAAUAAUUAUCAAUACUAAGGUAGUUCUUUUAAUUUAGAAGGUCUAAAAUAGGAUUUAGUUCAUUUUAGCUUGAACAGGUGUUUGCUAACAUAGAUUUGCUGUUUAAUACAGUGUUGAGCUAUUCUCUAUGAAAAUAAAAGUGCUAACACUACAAAGAAAUGCAAAUUAUUAUUCUUGCUCACUUUUACAACAUAGUUACAUGAAAUGGAUUUAAAAAUUAGUACUCACUGCCUAGAAUUUCUAGAGUUUGCUCCUUUUUUCCUCAAUCAGUAGCAAGCACAUUUGUUGUAUAUUUUAGUAUAGCCUAGUAUGAAAUACAGAUGUUAUGUAAGUAUGAUAAUAUUAAAUCUAUUUCAAUAGUUUUUGCUGGAAUGUGCCUUACAUAAAUAUAUAUUUGUUUUAUGUAUUAUUCUCUAGAGGCAUAAUAUUGUAAAAUGGUGCACUUUGUUAGGGAAAUUGAGCAUUACUAGAAACUAUCAUGACUUCUGACUAUUAUUUACCAAAUAGCAUUUUUAAGAUAUAUUUCUAUUUUCAAUUCAUCUAAAGAGAGUAUCAAAAUAGAAAAUGGGGAAAAGGUGCCUUCUGAGUGUUAAAAAUGUUUGAUCUGAAUGUAUUUAAAUGUAAAUACAAUGGAUUGAUCCAAAAAACUGAAAAGCUGUAAAAUCUGUAUAUAUUUUGAAUGCUUUACAUUUGAAAUGACUCACUUGAAAGUAUCAACAUGCAAAUUUAUAUAAAUAUUCAAGAGCAAUACUACAGUGCCAAAUAAUAAAGUGUCAUUUAUUCUCGUGGUCAUUUUCAGAAUUAGAGUUCACACAGACUGCAGGACAGGCAUACAUAUGGUAUAUUGUACUGGUUAAUUUAGCCCCAUUUAUAAACAGAUGAAAAUUUUAUUUUCUUAUUUCAUUUAUAAGAUGGUUCAAUAUAUAGGGAGGCUUUUUUUAUUAUAGAAAGUGUAUAUUGGUAUAUAAUAAAUGAACUUUUCAAAUGAC